GACGAACGCUGGCGGCGUGCUUAACACAUGCAAGUCGAACGAUGAAGAAGAGAAACGCGAACUUCGGUUCAAAUUUCACUUCGGAUUAGUGGCAGACGGGUGAGUAACGCGUGAGCAACCUACCUCUUACAAAGGGAUAGCCUCGGGAAACCGUGAUUAAUACCAUAUGACACAUUCAUAAGGCAUCUUAAGAAUGUUAAAGCUACGGCGGUAAGAGAUGGGCUCGCGUCCCAUUAGCUAGUUGGUGAGGUAACGGCCCACCAAGGCGACGAUGGGUAACCGGCCUGAGAGGGUGAACGGUCACAUUGGAACUGAGACACGGUCCAAACUCCUACGGGAGGCAGCAGUGGGGAAUAUUGCACAAUGGAGGGAACUCUGAUGCAGCGACGCCGCGUGAGCGAUGAGGGAAUUCGUUUCGUAAAGCUCUGUUCUAUGGGAAGAAAAGGACUGUACCAUAGGAGAAAGCCCCGGCUAAAUACGUG
rnacentral:rRNA from 1 species